UACGUAGGGUGCAAGCGUUGUCCGGAAUUAUUGGGCGUAAAGGGCUCGUAGGCGGUCCAUCGCGUCGGGAGUGAAAAGCUGGGGCUUAACCCCAGUCCUGCUUCCGAUACGGGUGGACUAGAGGUAGGUAGGGGAGAUCGGAAUUCCUGGUGUAGCGGUGAAAUGCGCAGAUAUCAGGAGGAACACCGGUGGCGAAGGCGGAUCUCUGGGCCUUACCUGACGCUGAGGAGCGAAAGUAUGGGGAGCAAACAGG
rnacentral:rRNA from 1 species